AAUGACUGAGUCAGCUGUGGGAGCACAGGUGAAUGCAAGACCAAGAGCCUACUUAAGGGCUGAUUGCAAGGGGGGAACUAUCUGUUUCUGGAGAUUCCUCCACUGUGGAGCCUUUCCUGCAAAUCUAGAUCUUCAGAUACAAACCACCAACAUGAUUUUGAUGGAUGUCCUGGUGCCUUUUGCAGUCUUUUUUUCUCUCAAGAAGAACCCUAGAUGAUUCAACAUCAACAGCAAAGCCUGAGAGUCUCACAUGGGAGAGUUGAGAGAAGGAGAAGAAACUCAUCAAAUAAAGUUUUGGAUCUCAAAUCGUAAAGAAAGUUUGAAGAGUUGAACCUUAAAAGUUCAUGAAAACAAAGAAAGUAGUGUCUCUAAAUUGGCAAAGAAGUCAUCUGUCCUGCAGAAGGGCUCUUUCUGAGUCUUUCAGGAAAGAUAAUAUAGAAAAAAGAAAAGUGUCUAUUUGUGAAUCUGCCACCAAAGAAAAACAGCAUGCUAAUGAAUACCAAGGAAAUAAUUAAUGAGUAUUGUGAUCGAACAGUAUAGUAUUCAGUUUUUGAAAAGCUGAACAAACAAGAGAGUAGGAAAACACAAGCAUUUAGGCUCAUCAGAUAACAAGAAAGAGACUGAACCGACCUGUCAACUUUUGGCUUUUGUUGUCUACCUCUCUGCUUACUCAAUGCUACUAUUCACUGUAUACUUUAAACUAUUUGUAAAUCCCAGGUUUCCAUGUAUCACCAAUUUCUCCUGGAAAAAAGUAGUGUGGUGUCUAAUACAUAUAAUAAUUUUUGUGGGUCCAGACUAUGGUUACAAAGGCCUAAAUCUGGUUUGUCUCCCAUUUUACACUGAAGUGGUUGCUUUGAAUUAUUUCCAUCCGUGUUCAUCAAGGGAGAGUCAAAGCAAUUCAAAUAUAUCAUAGUUCAAAAUAAGUUGAAGUUUAGUUUGAUUAAUUUUGCUGUUGAAAUUUUUCAUUCUACAAGUUGAGUAUUGAAUUCUUAGGUCCUUAAUUCAUAGUAUGUCUAGGUUUUCUUUCCACUUCUUGUCUGUUAUUUUUUAUGAGGAAUGUGAAUCUAAAGAAAAAAAUUAUUAAUUGUAUUCUAGAGGCAUUCUAUGAGCGUCAUCAGCUCAUUUUUACAUAGAAAUCAAGUUUAAGGACGUAUUUUUCCUCAUUAUUCUGCGUAGUUUAAAUCAGUGAUUGUUGUUAUUGGUGCCAUCGUUAUUAUUUCACAGUAAAUAUCAUAUUUGACACCAUAUAAAAGGUCAAUGACUUCAUUUCCUCUACAAUGAGACUCCAAGUGCCUCCAUAAUUUUCCUUCAAAUCAAAGUAGGUGCCAAUUUAAAACCUCCAUGCUCUGCAGAUCAUUCUAAAACAUUAAUCCUUACGUUUCAGAAGAAAAUACUGUUUAUGUCUGUGAUGUCUUGACAGUGACUUUAAAUGGCAAAACGCUAAAAUGCCUUUGUAUUUCUAGUUUACCUUCAAUAAAAAGUCAGAUUUGAAUGAGAUACCUAUUCGAAUGCUCAGAGAGUGAAACAAACUGACCUCUCAAAAACAAACGAAUAAAGUUUUUUAUUCGAGUCCUUUUUGCUCGGAUAUUGAGUGGAUAAUAAAUUAAAACCAUUAAAAAAAAAUACUUCAGGACUAAUCUGAGAGUAAACGAUGAGGUUAAAUAUAGCUUUCUAGCAAAGGUUUUCAGACAAAUAAAAUAUUCAUUCAUAUUUGACAGAGCCAAAACAAUUCUGUAAAAGUAAAGGAAAAAAAAAAAAAAAAACGAAAAACAAACAACAACAAUGAAAAAAACCUUGAAUUACUGAAUACUGCUAAUACUGUCAGACUUGAAAUCUGCUUGAGACAGUUUGAGAUGCCCAAACAGCCUUUCUGCAUUCAGAGUAGAACUGGGAGAAAUCCAACUAAGUCCAUCUCACUCUGAUCACUGAGGGCCAUUAGAGGAUUCUGGUUACACAUCUCUUGUGGGACAUUGCGUGCUUGGUAAGAGGUAACUAUGAUGUUGAUUACAGUUCACUUUGGUGUUUCAAGGAUAUUGCUGCUUCAUCUUGACACUUCUGCAAAAUACUGUUUCCUUCUCAUUUUUAAUGUCAACAGCAAAACUAGAAAACUCAAUACUAUCUAUUUGUAACAAAAGCAAGCAAGCACUUACCCAUUCUGCAAUACUGUGAAUAAUACAGCUAGUGGGAGAAAUAAUUAUUCUUGAUGCACACUGGUACUCCAUUUUUUGAUGUCCAGUAGAAGAAUUUUAAUAUAUUAGGAAAAUUUAUUUCUAUUCGCAUUUUUUUCCCCUCUACAAUGUAUCCCUUGUAGGCCUGUAAAAUUCAGAGAGCUCAUAUCGUAGAAGGGUGGAGGAGAUGCAACCAUUUUGUUAAAAACAUUUGGAGUAGUGUUGGAAAGGGAAGAAAAUGAAGAUGAAUACAGUAUUUGCGAUGUGUGAUAGAUGCUGGAGUUCACAGCAAUGAGCCUUUCUGAAAUUCCUCAGAUUUCCCAAACAUUUUUGGGCUAGGUUUUAGAAAUAAAAUCUUCCAUAAUACUUGGACUGUGCAUUGGCAUGUCCACAUGUUCUAAUUUCAAGCUAUUUUGCUUUUAAUGAUUGAAGUUCCUGUUCUUUGUGUUAUUU